GUUUCUUUAUUUCUAUACUGAGUUUGCCAUAAUUGGCGUUAAAUAAUGCGGUGUGUGAUUUUGUGAACCGUAUACCUAGAAAUGUAAUGUAGUCAGUUCUCCAGUCGUAUGUGUAGGUGUUUUUUAGUUUAUAAGUGACCUCUGGGGGGAGACCUUUGCAAAGAGCUUGCGUCUUAGAAAUAUUUAGUUUGUAAUAGGACAUUUUACUAUAGUUUUCUAGUGUAGAGUGGAAAUGUGGUAGGGAGGCUUCGGGGUCUUGUAACGUCAGUAGUACAUCGUCCGCGAAUAGUGUAAGUUUAUGUUCUUUGUUUUGUGUUUUGAC